UUUUUUACAGUCUCUGGUACGCACUCUUUUACUGCAUCACAGCUCAGCUGUUCUCCAGGCGAGCAUAAAGCGUCACCGACGAUUUUCUCUCUCUUGAUGCGGUAGAGCUGAAUUGCAGAAACUCUGACGUAGCCUUGUUCGUAUAUAAUCUUAAAGGAUAUGGGCUGAAGCUUAUAACAAAAGAAUGUCCGUCUUUGUUUUUUUUUCCUUCAAAUAUUCUGUUCAAACUCAAACUGGAAGAAUAACAAGUGCUUCUUGCAGACAUCAUAUUACAUUUAUUUGGCAGUAAUGUUUUAUGGAGAACCAUCCAAUUCCAUUGGUUUUGAUGAAACAGACUGAGGUAAUUAGUGUGGUUUUGGACUAUUGAUACAAGGAGUUGUAGUGGUCUCUAGUCUAAUUGUGGUCUUCAUGUAACAAUGCGGGCCUAGACAAUCUCCCAGCUGUGAAACAAUCCAUAUUUCGCUGGCGCAAUGGAAACUGAAAGUUGUACUGUAUCUGGCAUUUAGAAGCCUUAGUGCAGAGGCCUCAUCAAAAAGUAGGUACUCUGGGACUUCCAUUUGAGUAAACUUGAAGGAUGUUUUCUUAAACAAAUUCAUCCAUCACUCAACAUUGCCUAAGCACACCUGAGCAAUAGCCAACUAUGUAGUAAUCUAUUUUCCACCAGAGCAUGCCACACCCAUCUUGGUUGUCAGUCUUGUAAGUCUUGCACAGUAGUAUGAAUCAGCAAAGACCACCAGAGGGAGCAGGGCAACUGGGGCCAUGCGGCCAGGCUGGCAGCACAACUUGCCCCAGGCUUACACGGAACAGGAUGUAGGACUUACUUGCCUUCACCUGCAAAAACACACACAGGCAGGAAAACCAGAGCAACCAGAAGAAUGUGACCACUAUGUCAACACUGCUCUUUAACUGAAAAACAGAAGUCCUGGCAAGUCUUCCUUCCUCUCACAGAAAACAUACGAUCUUUUUUUCUUACAAGGUUUUUACAUUAAGGAAGUGUGAUGUCAUGUAAAUCAGUUAUCCGAGAGGAAGCAACGCAAAUGAAAAUGACUAGUUAAGUAGUCAGAAACAUAAGAUAUUGCAAUGUCCUUGUCUGUAAGGGAGUAAAAACAUACCCUGUGUUCUCAUCACAAUUUUCUUCCGUUGGAAAUAUAAUUCACGAUCAGAACUGGAUCCCUGUGCACCAAGUCUGUGUUAUGGAAGACAACUGCCAAAACACCAGCAACAGGAGAGUGCAAAUGAAGUCUAACUAGGUCCAACAAAUGAUAAUCUAAUGAAUGUGUAUUGUACUAUAAACAGUGGCUUUAGUAAGUAGUAGUUAUGCAUUAUUUGGUAAUCAGUGUCGUGUUGUUCAAUGUUAUUUUCAGUCAUAUUCUCUGCUUAAUUAAAAUUAGAAGUGAGAAACAAGAAAAAUUAAAUCUGAAAAACUGUCAGUAACUCUGUGAAUCAUUUAAAUAAAAGGUGAGCACUGUAUGUCCAAUAUUUCAUCUGAAUGACUACUGAAAGAGAACAUUGUGGUCAUGGGAAGAUGUUAAUUUUUUUUGCAGUGAUCAGCUUUGGGGUUUGUGCUGAAAUCCUCUAGUGGUUUGAGGUGUUAUUUUCUUUCUUUCCAAUCUAGUGGAACGUACUCUGUUCCUACACUGUUUAUGUUCAACAGCAGGAUAUGGACUUAAUGAGGAUGGGGAGGUCAAUGGGCAUUUUUCUCUAUUGCAAACUAUAAUGUUCCACUGAAACAUUAAAGUGAUAUUCAUCUGACGUAUUAAGAAGUACCAGCACCUCAGGGGUUCUUUCUUUAUAUCAAAAUAAGACAAGGAAUAAAUAUAUAAUAAUAAGGGGGACUUCAUGAACUGUACAAGUCCAUGAAGUUUAUAACAUUUUCGUACACUUAUCGUACAUUCCUAAACAUGUUGUAUGAGGAUAUGUGUUUUAAUCAUGCAUGAUGUAUUAUCUCUCUUUUGAUCAUUUAUUUACCCGAAUGAGUUACAAUGCCAUCAUGGUAAAAUGCAUUGUAUUUACUGUAUAUAACAGGAGCAAAAAGAGCACAUGAAAAUGUAACUCCCCGCAACCCCAUGUAUGGGUGUUAGUCUGAUGAUUACUGAUGCCCAAUAUUAAACAUGGCCCAUGUGAUGACAGUCUAGCCUCAAAGCUGGUUCUAGCCUACUAUGAAAGCUAGUUUUGUCACAGGAAAAGGCCUAUAUCCAGUUGCUCAGCAUCAACUUUCUCCUGUGAAUGGUGUCAUGGAAUUUUUGUUCCCUUUAGUUAACACAGUAUCAAGUUGGGAAUUUGAUUUUAUAUAAAGUUAUGUUGACUCAUGAAAAAAGGCAAAAUUUUGAUAUUUUAUAUUGAGGCUAAUCAAUAUAACUGCUUAGUGGUUAAUUUCAUUAUUAGCUCCAUAAACACAUUUGUUGAGAGAGUUUUCCAACCCAGAAGUAGCAGUACAUCCCAGUUGUAAUUUUUACUAACAUAUAUUUAUUGAAUUGUCCACUGUUGCAUUUGGUAAGGCACCAAAUAACCCAGGAAUUUAAAACCUGUGUUUCCAACAGCUAAUUAUAUCUUUGGUAAAUAAAGGUGAAUGCUCUAAUUAGCUGGAAAACCCAACUAAUAUUUACGCUUUUGAAGUGAAAGAGACUAUAUAAUGCAAUGGGAGAUUGUUUCACAUUAAAAACUUGACAAUAACAGAAAUAACCAUGUUUGUCCAGUCAAUUCAUCAAUGUAAUUAAAUGCUAAUUUGCAAGUCUGGGCCUAAUCCAAUAAAUUUUUUAGAAACUAA